AUUGGGUGUAAAGCGCGCGUAGGUGGUUCGUUAAGUUGGAUGUGAAAGCCCCGGGCUCAACCUGGGAACUGCAUCCAAAACUGGCGAGCUAGAGUAUGGCAGAGGGUGGUGGAAUUUCCUGUGUAGCGGUGAAAUGCGUAGAUAUAGGAAGGAACACCAGUGGCGAAGGCGACCACCUGGGCUAAUACUGACACUGAGGUGCGAAAGCGUGGGGAGCAAACAGGAUUAGAUACCCCAGUA
rnacentral:rRNA from 1 species